rnacentral:rRNA from 1 species
CACGUAGGGGGCAAGCGUUGUCCGGAAUCAUUGGGCGUAAAGAGCUCGUAGGCGGCUCAGUAAGUCGGGUGUGAAACCCCCAGGCUCAACCUGGGGACGCCACCCGAUACUGCUGUGGCUAGAGUCCAGUAGGGGAGUGUGGAAUUCCCGGUGUAGCGGUGAAAUGCGCAGAUAUCGGGAGGAACACCGGUGGCGAAGGCGGGUCUCUGGGCCGAUACUGACGCUGAGGAGCGAAAGCGUGGGGAGCGAACAGG